rnacentral:lncRNA from 1 species
UAACGUUAAAGAAUUGUAGCAUAAAAGGAGUUGUUUGGGUUGUUUUUUUUUUCCCUCACAAGUUGGCAUGUAACAUUACUGUGAUGGAGAGUUCAUAAGAAUUUUGACUGAGACUAAGCUGUUUAAAUCUGUUACACCAUUCACAGCAAAAGUACAGGUGAGGAAAAGAAACCAUCUAUUUCCUGGUGAUUAGUCCUUUGGUAUAAAAUGCACUACAAAAACGGAGGACUCACGUGAUUUAUGUCAUGGAAGAAAAUAGUGGCUAAGAUGAAGCAAGAAUCCUUAGUUUGGUAUUAAUAGAAAUACUAGAAAUAAUUAUUUUGUACUUUAUAAGUCAUGUUCUAAAUAGUUCCCCAGAUAUCAAUAUAUCCUUAGUUUUCUAGCACGUAUUUACAUGUUAUCAGAACAUUCUUUUUUAUGAGCUUUCAUUUUAAUCUUUGAGCAUCUUAACAACAAAUAUGUUUCCUGCAUAUCUCUUUUGACAAGUACUUUGAAGUUAACCAUUUUCCAAUUACGUUAGAAUUAUUCUGGGUAGACUUUCCCUUUGACAAUGCACAUUCUUAUAAUUAAUUUCUUGCAGGAUACAAAAAUUACAUAGAAAAGCAACAUUUUAAAAAGACAAAAGGGGUCUCCCACGUUCUUUCUGUGCCCUCACCCCAGUCUCAUUUCAAGAGAGUAGUCGCUAUUACCCACAAUGUCAUGCCUUUUCAAAUGCCAGUAAUUAUAUGCUUAAGAAGAUUAAAGCUUUAUUUGCUCAGAUCUUAAGUCCAUGGGACUUCUAUUAGUAACUAAUCAAAAUGAUCAUUACUGUUAGAAGGUGGGAAAUGGUAGAACAUUGCUUUUGAAAACUAUAUUUGGCACCAUUAAUACAAAGGCUGGGAUCGUUGUGAUGAGUGCUGGUCAUGCUAACCAUGUUCCCGCAUGGCUGGUGAUUAUGUCCUGGGUUGGGUUCUGCACGGUAGCCUGCUUUGGGUUAGGGACAGUCACACCUGGUCUGUCCUGACUUCUUUCUGGGCCCUCCUAACCAAACCAGGGGAGGGGAGAAGGACCCAAUUCUUUUCCUUUGGUGCACGUAGCCUGGACCCGUUAUGGACAGAGGCCAAAGGAAGAUAACAGUGUGGUGUCCAGAGAUGAAACCAAGUGGUUGAUGGGCAGUUCUUUGAGCAACCUUGUUUAUGAGCCUAUUGAUAUGCAGAUAUAGAGGCAUCCAAUACUAUUGACUAAUUUAAAAUCUUAUUCAGUGAGUCAACACUCUAAAUAAGCAAUGGAGAUGGUUCCAUUCAUUUUUUUGCAAGUAUCAUUUUUAUAAACAUAAAU